rnacentral:rRNA from 1 species
GGUUAAGCGACUAAGCGUACACGGUGGAUGCCCUGGCAGUCAGAGGCGAUGAAGGACGUGCUAAUCUGCGAAAAGCGCCGGCGAGGUGAUAUGAACCUUUGACCCGGCGAUGUCCGAAUGGGGAAACCCAGUGCAAUCCGUUGCACUAUCGUUAACUGAAUACAUAGGUUAACGAGGCGAACCGGGGGAACUGAAACAUCUAAGUACCCCGAGGAAAAGAAAUCAACCGAGAUUCCCCCAGUAGCGGCGAGCGAACGGGGAGCAGCCCGGAGUCUGAAUCAGCUUGUGUGUUAGUGGAACGGUCUGGAAAGUCCGACGGUACAGGGUGAUAGUCCCGUACACGAAAGCACACAUGCUGUGAACUCGAAGAGUAGGGCGGGACACGUGGUAUCCUGUCUGAAUAUGGGGGGACCAUCCUCCAAGGCUAAAUACUCCUGACUGACCGAUAGUGAACCAGUACCGUGAGGGAAAGGCGAAAAGAACCCCGGCGAGGGGAGUGAAAAAGAACCUGAAA